CGCGUAGACGGUUGUCUAAGUCUGGAGUGAAAGUCCUGCUUUCAAGGUGGGAAUUGCUUUGGAGACUGAAUGACUUGAGUGCGGAAGAGGUAAGUGGAAUUCCCAGUGUAGCGGUGAAAUGCGUAGAGAUCGGGAGGAACACCAGUGGCGAAGGCGACUUACUGGGCCGUUACUGACGCUGAGGAGCGAAAGCGUGGGGAGCGAACA
rnacentral:rRNA from 1 species